rnacentral:rRNA from 1 species
GACAGAGGGUGCAAACGUUGCUCGGAAUUACUGGGCGUAAAGGGCGUGUAGGCGGGAAGGCAAGUCGGGCGUGAAAUCCCCAGGCUCAACCUGGGAACUGCACUCGAAAACUGCCUUUCUUGAGUGUCGGAGAGGAAAGCGGAAUUCCUGGUGUAGAGGUGAAAUUCGUAGAUAUCAGGAGGAACACCAGUGGCGAAAGGGCGGCUUUUCUGGGACGAUAAACUGACGCUGAGACGCGAAAAGCGUGGGGGAGCAAAACAGG